CCAAUAGCGUAUAUUAAAGUUGUUGCAGUUAAAAAGCUCGUAGUUGAAUUUCGGGGUCAGUAGGUUGGUCAUGCCACUGGUAUGUACUGGUCUCACUGAUUCCUCCUUCCUGAUGAGCCGUAAUGCCAUUAAUUUGGUGUUGCGAGGAAUCUGGACUGUUACUUUGAAAAAAUUAGAGUGUUUAAAGCAGGCUAACGCUUGAAUACAUUAGCAUGGAAUAAUGAAAUAGGACGUUCGAUCUUAUUUUGUUGGUUUCUAAGAUUGACGUAAUGAUUAAUAGGGAUAGUUGGGGGCAUUAGUAUUCAAUUGUCAGAGGUGAAAUUCUUGGAUUUAUUGAAGACUAACUACUGCGAAAGCAUUUGCCAAGGAUGUUUUCAUUAAUCAAGAACGAAAGUUAGGGGGUCGAAGACGAUCAGAUACCGUCGUAGUCUUAACCAUAAACUAUGCCGACUAGGGAUCGGAUGAUGUUAAUUUUUUAAUGACUCAUUCGGCGCCUUACG
rnacentral:rRNA from 1 species